rnacentral:rRNA from 1 species
AGGUAAAAAAUCGGCGUGGUUAGCAGAACGAGUUGGAAAGCUCAGCCAGAGACUGUGAUAGCCAGGUAUGCGAAAACGACGCUGACCUUAUUCUGUAUUCUCGAGUAGGUCGGGGCACGAGAAACCCUGAUUGAAUCCGGCUGGACCACCAGCCAAGGCUAAAUAUAGUAUAUGAUCGAUAGUGAACUAGUACGGUGACGGAAAGGUGAAAAGAACCCCGGGAGGGGAGUGAAAUAGAACCUGAAAUUUUGUGCCUACAAGGAGUCGGAGCCCAGCACCUUUGAAAUCGAGUGGUACAAUGUAGACAGAUGUUCUACGUGUACGUUUUGCAAAGUGAUCGGGAAUCAGAUCAAAUUUACUUCGGUCAGACCAGUGACUUAAGACGACGUCUCUCGGAGCAUAAUUCCGGUAAGGAUACUUAUACCAAGAUAUAUGCGCCAUGGAAGGUUGUCUAUUAUGAAGCCUAUUUAUCACGUAAGCUGGCAUUAGCCCGUGAGAGGCAGUUGAAAGCUUAUGGACAAGCUAGGACUGCUCUGAAGAAGAGACUAAAUUUGAUCUGAUACUCGAUUUCAAAGGUGCUGGGUGACGGCGUGCUUUUUGUAGAACGAUCCAGCGAGUUAAUUUUUACGGCGAGGUUAAGUCAGAUGAUGAAGCCAUAGUGAAAGCGAGCAUUAACAGUGCGAUUUAGUCGUAAGGAUUAGACCCGAAACCAGGUGACCUAACCAUGAGCAGGUUGAAGCAACCUUAAUCGGUUGUGGAGGACCGAACCAGUGUAUAUUGCAAAAUGCUUGGAUGACUUGUGGUUAGCGGUGAAAUGCCAAUCGAACUUGGAGAUAGCUGGUUCUCCGCGAAAUAGUUAUAGGACUAGCGUCGUGUGAUAGCUUACGGGGGUAGAGCUCUGUCAAGAGAUAGGGGGAGCAAUCCUACCUACUCUUAAUAAACUACGAAUACCGUAUGUCUGUAUCACGGCAGUUAGAACGUCGGUGCUAAGAUCGGCGCUCAAAAGGGAAACAGCCCAGACCAUCAUCUAAGGUCCCCAAAUUUACGCUAAGUGGGAAACAAGGUGGAAUUUCUUAAACAGCUAGGAUGUUGGCUUAGAAGCAGCCAUUCAUUUAAAGAGUGCGUAACAGCUCACUAGUCAAGAGAUUCUGCGUGGAAGAUAUAACGGGGCUAAGCGUAAUACCGAAGAUAUGGAUUGCAAUUUAUUGCAGUGGUAGCGGAGCGUUCCUAUCGGCAGUGAAGCCGGACUGUUAAGUACCGGUGGAGCGUUAGGAAGUGAGAAUGCUGGAACGAGUAACCAUAAGACAGGUGAGAAUCCUGUCGGCCGAAAGAGCGAGGUUUCCUGGGCUAUGGUAAUCAUCCCAGGGUUAGUCGGGCCUAAGCCGAGGCGUUUAGCGUAGGCGAUGGACAUCAGGUUAAUAUUCCUGAACUAGUCAAACUUUGUAUGCAGUUAGCGAUGAGAUAGGUGGAGCGGAUUCAUGGUUUAUCCGUUCAAGUGAUAGAGGAAUCUUGAUCGAGUAAAAGUGAACCUACGGGUUUACGAUUCCGCUGAAGGCAUUGACCAGAAAAGCUGGCAUACGCAUGGGUUUGGCUACCCGUACCGCAAACCGACACAGGUGCUCGAGUCGAGGAGACUAAGGCUUACGAGAGAAUGAUUGCUAAGGAACUCGGCAAUACAGCGACCGUAACUUCGGAAUAAGGUCUGCCUACAUUUGUAGGCCGCAGCUAAAGAGCCCACGGAACUGUUUAUCAAAAACACAGGUCUCUGCUAACACGAAAGUGGAUGUAUAGGGGCUGACUCCUGCCCGGUGCCGGAAGGUUAAGGGGAGUGCUUCACGGUGCAAACUGAAGCCCCGGUGAACGGCGGCGGUAACUAUAACCGUCCUAAGGUAGCGAAAUUCCUUGUCAGGUAAGUUCUGACCCGCACGAAUGGAGUAAUCAUGUGGGCACUGUCUCAGCGAAGGACUCGGUGAAAGUGCAUUGGCGGUAAAGAUGCCGUCUGUCCAUACCAGGACGAGAAGACCCCAUGGAGCUUUACUACAGCUUUACAUUGAAUACGGUUUCAACAUGUGUAGCAUAGGUGGGAGACGUUGAAGCAGAUACGCCAGUAUUUGUGGAGUCACCAAGUGAAAUACCACCCUUGUUGUGAUUGUGUUCUCACGCUGACCGUUAUCCGGUUAGCGGACCGUGUAUGGUGGGUAGUUUAACUGGGGCGGUUGCCUCCUAAAGAGUAGCGG